UUUCCGUUUGAUUUAUUACUUUUAGAGUUUGACAGAAACGACUCUGAUUAAACAACAAAUAAUAACGGAAUAAAAGUAAGUUGAAAACGUGUAACGCAUAACAUUGUUAAAGACUUUUUGAGAAAACCCAUAGCCUUGUUAUAAUUAACGGACCUUAGUUCAAGAAAAAUCAUGCACAAGCUUUUGGUUAUUCUGUUACUUUUUGCGAUUGUUGGAACUGCUUAUAUGCAAUGCACAACUGACUGCAGGUUUUUUCAAUGCAAACAAGAAUGCGGUGUAAAUGAAGUAGAUAUAAGAAAAGAAUGUUCUUGCUGUGCACUAUGUGUACCUCUGAAUGAAAAAUGAUGUGAAAUUUUAUAAAAAUAAUAUUUACAUCGAUUGUAAUGUUAGCAAGAAGCAGAAGAAUGAAAGAUAAUGUGAUAUAAAAGCUUCCAAAUAAAUAGAAUGAUUUAUUUCUAAA